UAAUUAAAAUUCAAAAUUACUAAUGGAAAGUAUAUCGUGUGAAAAUGGAAUUUGAGCGUGGUUGCUUGAUUUUCAUUUUGUUCCAUGCUCAUUUUCUCUUUUUUCCCAAAUGAGAGGCGCUGAGUUAGCUGAGAGAGAGGGAUGAAACCCUAAGUUUUCUACUGCCAUUUUUGCCACCAUUCUCACUGCCGUUUUCGCUGCCGGCACCGUUAUCACUGUCGUGUCCGUUGCAGUAGAGAGCUUCUGGAUCGAGCCACCUCUUCUAUUAACGCAUCUGUUCUCUCUAUACUGUCGUUGCUACCACUGUUGCCACCGCAGUUUUCGCCACCGUUGCCGCCAUAGUUUUUGCCGUCGAUGCCACCGUAGUUGUUGUGGUACAACGCAUUUUCAGAUCUGUUCACUUCGGACUUCUUCUUCAACGACGCUUUCUCUCACUCCAAUUUCUCCUUUGAAUUGCUGCUGGAUUGCGGUGUUCGAACAAACAGGAAUUGGAAAGAAUGCCAGCCACAUAUGUUUCUUCAAUUUCAAUUAUUUCUCGAUGAUUUGAUUCUUUUUCAGGAGGCUUUUUUUUUUCUACAACGAAGAUCAUUGUUAUUCUGUUUGAAUGUUACUUAAUUUUAUUUUCUUUGCUAAAGUAUCAAUGCAAUUAUCUUAUUGACUCAAUGCAAUGAUCCUUUUGGAGCAGUCAGUAAUUCGGCUCUAUCAGACUACUACUUUUAAGCAAGUGAAGCUUUGAUUUUUUGAUACACACUGUGACAUGAACCUUUCCAAGGUAUUUGGACAUAAAUGUGUCUAGAUACAUUGAUUUUUCGAUGUACCAGAAAAGUAAGAGUGCUAAUUGGAAUGGAGGGAGUAGUUUUUCUCUUGAUCUCAUUAUGUUUAUUGACCAGUACUCCUAUUCAUGCAGCUUAAUGCAAUAGAAAAUGGUCCCUAUGAUUAUACCAGAAGUGGAAAUCCCACUCGAGAUGCUUUAGAAAGGUUCACUGUGUCCUGUUAGUUGUGUUUGUUUACCAUUGCAACUGCCAAUAUUGUGGCAUUAAUGUUUUCUUUUCCCACCAUGUUUUACCUUGCAUGAUGUGUUCUCAGUUUGUUGGUGAAACUUGAUAAGGCGGAUAGAGCCCUAUGCUUCAUCAGUGGAAUGGCUGCUCUGAGUGCUGUUUCUCUUCUUGUUCAAGCUGGUGAGAAAAUUGUUGCUGGAGAUGAUCUAUAUGGUGGAACAGACAGGUUGCUGUCCCGAGUAAUUCCAAGAAUGGCAUUGUGGUCAAUGAGCAAAUAGGUUUACAGAUUUAUUGUCAUUUAAGGGGUGGAGACCAGCUAUAACAGUGAAGCAAAUUCUUGUUGGUAUCCAGGAUUUGCUUGACCAGCCAAAUCCUGCUGAUCCUGCUUAGACAGAGGAAUAUCAUCUAUUUAUCCAGGAUGCUACAGAAUAUAAAAGAAGGGUCAGGCAGCAGGCAAAGCAAUACCCACCAAUAAUUUAGUGAUACAACAGCUCACCUUAGGAACUAUUUUUGCAUCGUAAAUGCUCUAAUACGCUAUAGCUUAAAACUGUGCAGCGUCAACAGCAGCACCUGAAAUAAACUCUGGUUGAUAGGGAAAGUUGCUGCAGAUCACAGUCACAAAUGGAUAUACAAAGAGCCUAAUGAACAAGAAAUCAACUUCUAGUCAGCGUGGCAUAAUUCAGCUGAUUCACAUCCUAGGACUUGGGAAGCACAGUUCCAAUCUCGAAUAAAGGUAGUAUUAUAUAUGAUAAUUAUGAUAAGAAAAUAAUAAACAUUUAUAUUCAUGUGUCUACAUCAUAGGAUCUUUAUUGUUUCUUGAUGCAUACCAUAGCUCUCAUUGCUGUAAGAGAAGGUGUUGUUCAAUUGGGAGCAAUUCACAAGGUUCUGUCUCUACUCUAUAUAUAUGAUUUGAAAUAAUUAAGUGUGUAAUUGUGGUUAAUUAGUGAUUAAUGAAUUAAGGUGAUUGAGGACUUGAGCUAUGUGGUUCUACUGAGGAAGAAAUUCAGCUACACAGAAAGCAACAUAAAUUAACUUGAUAAUGUUAAAAGGUCUUUUAGGAUUGGGACCUUCAGUGUAAUUAUAUACUAUUAAUGUUAAAAUUUUAGAGCUUAGUUUGUGUGUAUACUUUAAAUUUUUUUUUGUGUAUUUGUUUUAUGUAAUUAGAUGAUAUUGAAAUAUUAAAGUUGUUUUAUUUUACUUUUUAAAGAAAAACAGUAAUAGUUAUGUAGCACAA